rnacentral:rRNA from 1 species
CACGUAGGCGGCCCAUCAAGCGUCUUGUGAAAUCCCUCGGCUCAACCGAGGAAUUGCUUGGCGAACUGGUGGGCUUGAGACAGGCAAGGGUGCGUGGAACUCUUGGUGGAGCGGUGAAAUGCGUAGAUAUCAAGAGGAACGCCGGCGGCGAAAGCGAUGCACUGGGCCUGACCUGACGCUGAGGUGCGAAAGCUAGGGUAGCGAACAGGAUUAGAUACCCUGGUAGUCC